AUUGCCGACGCGGUUCAAAGUGGGUCAAAGGCGGUGAAAUUAUCUGUUCUGAUCAGCUUGAUAUUUGAUAUGGGUUGUAUUUGGAUCCAAGAAAUUACUUAUUUUUGCAAGUUCGCGAAGCGCUUGAUGCCUGCUUCACCUCCGCCGCAGGUCGGCCCGGCAUUCCACAAUCUUCUGGAUCGGCCCACGGUUA